rnacentral:misc_RNA from 1 species
AACCUAGCACACCUGCGGUGUGUACCUGCGGAGGGAUCAUUAGAGAGAAACUUGCCCUACGGGGUAGAUUUCCCCACCCUUUGUUUACCGUACCUUGUUGCUUUGGCAGGCCGGUCUUCGGAUCACUGGCUUUCAGCUGGUCUGCGCCUGCCAGAGGACCCCAAAUUCUUGAUUUUGUGUUGUCUGAGCGUUAAUUUAAUGAUAAAAACUUUUAACAACGGAUCUCAGAUCGGAAGAGCA